UUGCACCUCAUCAAUGGGAAGGGAUCCCUUCCAAUUGAUGAGGUAUUUGCACCUCAUUCACGGGAAGGGAUUCUUUCUUGUUGAUGAGGUAUAUGCACCUCAUCAAUAAGUAGAGAUCCCCUCCAAUCCAUAAGAUGCAA
rnacentral:miRNA from 1 species